AUGAACGCUGGCGGCGUGCCUAAUACAUGCAAGUCGAGCGAACAGAUAAGGAGCUUGCUCCUUUGACGUUAGCGGCGGACGGGUGAGUAACACGUGGGUAACCUACCUAUAAGACUGGAAUAACUCCGGGAAACCGGGGCUAAUGCCGGAUAACAUUUAGAACCGCAUGGUUCUAAAGUGAAAGAUGGUUUUGCUAUCACUUAUAGAUGGAUCCGCGCCGUAUUAGCUAGUUGGUAAGGUAACGGCUUACCAAGGCAACGAUACGUAGCCGACCUGAGAGGGUGAUCGGCCACACUGGAACUGAGACACGGUCCAGACUCCUACGGGAGGCAGCAGUAGGGAAUCUUCCGCAAUGGGCGAAAGCCUGACGGAGCAACGCCGCGUGAGUGAUGAAGGUCUUCGGAUCGUAAAACUCUGUUAUUAGGGAAGAACAAAUGUGUAAGUAACUGUGCACGUCUUGACGGUACCUAAUCAGAAAGCCACGGCUAACUACGUG
rnacentral:rRNA from 1 species